CGGGUGAGUAACACGUAAACAACCUGCCUUCAGGAUGGGGACAACAGACGGAAACGACUGCUAAUACCGAAUAAGUUCCAAGGGCCGCAUGGCCCAUGGAAGAAAAGGUGGCCUCUACCUGUAAGCUAUCGCCUGAAGAGGGGUUUGCGUCUGAUUAGCUGGUUGGAGGGGUAACGGCCCACCAAGGCGACGAUCAGUAGCCGGUCUGGGAGGAUGAACGGCCACACUGGAACUGAGACACGGUCCAA
rnacentral:rRNA from 1 species